rnacentral:lncRNA from 1 species
AACAUUCAUACGACACAUCGACUGUCUCUAAUGUAAGUGAUAAAAAAUUUAAUGAUUGAUAUCUGAGGUCCGAAAUUCGAACCGUUAAACAUUUCUAACUAAAUUUAGUUUUUAAAAAAAUAAAUAAAACGGGUAGUAUAAUAUUUUUUUUCAAAAGGAAAAUAUAUUGAUAAUGACAUGAUAUAUAGAAGGGUUCAUUUUAAAAAAAUAAUGGGAGGAAUUUAAUUUGGGAUGCCUUAUUUAAUACCCAUCACUUCCAUGAUGGACAGAUGGCACAAAAUAAAAGAACCAAUGUCAUUUCCUUCUGAAUUCACAAGAAGCUCACAUUUUUAUCCAAAAAUUUUAUUAACUCAUAUUUAAAGUGAUUUGAAGCUCAAUUGAAUACUCGGUCAACGACUUUAACUCCAGCGCCUCGAAACGAACCAACCGAGACUACUUCUGAUUCGUCCACUAUCCUUGCAACUAACGCAGUUUAUAU